AGUGAACGCUGGCGGUAGGCCUAACACAUGCAAGUCGAACGGCAGCACAGUAAGAGCUUGCUCUUACGGGUGGCGAGUGGCGGACGGGUGAGGAAUACAUCGGAAUCUACUUUUUCGUGGGGGUUAACGUAGGGAAACUUACGCUAAUACCGCAUACGACCUACGGGUGAAAGCAGGGGAUCUUCGGACCUUGCGCGAUUGAAUGAGCCGAUGUCGGAUUAGCUAGUUGGCGGGGUAAAGGCCCACCAAGGCGACGAUCCGUAGCUGGUCUGAGAGGAUGAGCAGCCACACUGGAACUGAGACACGGUCCAGACUCCUACGGGAGGCAGCAGUGGGGAAUAUUGGACAAUGGGCGCAAGCCUGAUCCAGCCAUACCGCGUGGGUGAAGAAGGCCUUCGGGUUGUAAAGCCCUUUUGUUGGGAAAGAAAAGCAGCAGGUUAAUACCCCGCUGUUCUGACGGUACCCAAAGAAUAAGCACCGGCUAACUUCGUG
rnacentral:rRNA from 1 species